UAUAGGACACAAUGGGUGUUUAAUGGGGUUAAUAUGGUAUUUCAUUUUAUGUAUAGCAUAAUUAAUGUGUAAUAUCUUUGAAAACUUACAUCUUUUAUUUUCAAUGUUUUAAUAAACAUCAAUAACAUGAGAGAAGCUUUAUUUUCAAAGCCAUAGUCAAUUUAUAUACAUAUUUUGUUGCUAUAUACUGUGACUAUAUAGUAUAUAUAUUUAUGAUAUAUAUAUCUAAUGUUUACCAGGUUUCAAAGAUGUAAAUUCAUUUUUUUUUUUACUUAAGAGUUAUUCAAAUUCAUCCACUUUAGAAGAUUUCAUUAAAUAAAGAGUUUUAACAUGGAUGCAUAAAUGCAAUUUCAACAAUUUAUAAAUUCAUAAAAAAACAAAGUUUAUUCAUGAAAGUUUUUAUAAUAGAUAAUUUUUGUUAAUUCAGUGUCACAUUAUCUACUGUUACAAGUAAGAAAAGAUAAAGAAGCAGUAAUUAGAUGAAUUAAGCUAGGUAGAGAUUGGACUUUAGAUAAGUGUUUGUGUUUUAGACUUACUGUCCAGCAGUGGAUAAGUAUAUCAUGUGUCUUAUGUGUGUAUGUUACAUACUGACUUAAAGUACUGAAAUAAACAUCAUCAAACCUG
rnacentral:sRNA from 1 species